GCCUUCCCCAGUCCAUGGGGCUCUUGCUGCAUGUGCCACAAGGAGACAGAGGCCAAGGGCUACAUCACUGUGUAAAAACAUCGUUUAUCCCACCUCAUGAGGAAGGAUACAGUAGACCCUCAUCCGUCAUUUGGCUGUGUGCAAGGAGAUGCAUGUGAUAAAUCAAUCUGAGAGGAAGCGUGACCCCCCAAAGCAGGGCUACUGCUGAAGAGGAUACGGGCCCGCAGGCUGUCAUGCAAGGAAGGAUAUUAGUGCAGACUCAGUCAAGAGAGAAAGCCAGUCCACCACACUCAGGCUUGGCUCUGCUGCAACCGCUUCUCGUGCUCCAGUGCUGCCUUGCUGACUCUUGGAUGCUGCCUGUGCAAGGCCCAGCACUCUGCAUGGGCCUGCCUUGCCUGCUUGGUGCAGGUUAUCAGUGGUCAGUUCCUGUUUCAGCAAAUAGCUCUGGUGGAAAAGGACUGAUCUGUAAGUCUCUUGUUGUCCUCCUGUCCAUGCUUGGUGGGGAGUCUGAAUAAAAUACAUUGGAUGCUGCAGGAAGACACAAAAUUUAAAUAAAUUCCCCUUCCUUCUCAGUAAUCAAAAUGUUUCUCUCCUAAGAGCCCCUUGAUUAAUCGAUCUCGCAACUGACAAAUCGAGGCUGGGAAUUCAAAAUCCAAUUGAAAUGGAGGAAAACAACAUUAUGCACCAUCUGAUGCAGUCAGCGAUGUCACAGAAUGAAAUGACUGCAGAAAAAUAGGGCCUUGUGCUGGAGGAGCCUCCAUUAAGAUGUGGCGAGGGUAUUAUUAAGUAAAAGAACAUUGAUUUUGUUUGAAGGAUUUGGCCGUCCAUAUUAAAUAUCAGCUCGGUAAUGUGAUCUCAGUAGUUGCUUGAAAUGUCAGACUCACUUGGCUACAUCUGUUUGCUGGGGCUGCUGCCGGAAAAUGGAAAUGAAAAUUUCAUUCUUUAUCAGCCAUUGGUCUGCAUUAGCAACUUGAUAGGCUUCACCCAUAUGGGGCUGAAUUAGCAUAUGAGCUCACUACAGGGAAUAUAGGUAUGCCAGGAACGCUGGUGUCUAUCAAACAUGUGUGACAGUAACAAGAUGAGUAAUUUCUGCAGGCAGAAGCAGCCACCAUAGCGGGAUAUUUCAAAGCCAGGAACCUCUGUAAGCUCUGGGCUUUCAUGUGACGUGCACUAUGGAUCCAACGCCGGGCCAGGUCUUCUGCUGCAUGAGUACACGCAGUGCUGCUGGCUUCAGCUCCACGUUCCUGCUUUGGGAGAGCACGGAGCCUGCAUCUCUGCACCCACGGACACUGCUUCUGUCAGGUACCCAAAUACCAGUGCCCUUGGUACUGAGGGAGGUAGAAACACAUCUGUGUUCUGUGUGAGUCCUGCUGAAGGCAGCCCUUGGCUGGGGCAGCCUACGAGGCCACCUGUCACUGCUGGGGACGUUUGUCUGAGUUUCUGGGAGAGGUGCUCAGCGCUGCCACCAGCUCAACCUGCCAAGAAGAAAGCAGCAGCCAUGUCGCAGCCUGGGCAGGGGUUGGGACUGGGUGGGCUGUUGCAUCCG